UUUAUAUAAACAAACAUGCCUCACAUGAAAAGCAGUUGGCGUUUUAUGUGUUAAAGUAUUUCGCUUUUUUCUACUUACGACCUAGACAGUAGUUAACACACUAAUAUAAUUAUACUUGCUGUUCACAGGUUAGGUUACGCUACACAGCUAUGGCAAAUCAACAGGCUGCAAUACUUUUGUUGUUCCUUUUACUUGGACAACCUUUGACCUCAAACGCUUACUGGGAAGAGGCGGUCGGUUUUGUUGUUGGGGCCGCAGCUGUAGCUGUGGUUGGUCCCGUAGCGCUCGCUGGUAUGGGAUUUACAUCAGCUGGUAUCACGGCUGGAUCAAUCGGAGCAAACUCUGAUGUCUUACGGUGUUCCAGUAGGAGUGCUGCAGUCAGCCGGAGCGGCAGGCAUGUCGUAUUCUGCGCAUGUCGCUGGCGGAAUGCUCGGCGCAGGAACUGCGCACAGCGCCAAACAUUAUGCAGAUGGUGUUAGUAAAAUAAAAAAUGUCGCCUCAACAAUGUGGAACAAGAUUUGGAAUUGGUAAAAAUAGAUUGUAAAACGUAAAGGGACACGAAUUUCGUAAAUAAACAAUGAAAAUAUCUCA
rnacentral:sRNA from 1 species